rnacentral:rRNA from 1 species
CUACGGGGGGCAGCAGUGGGGGAUAUUGCACAAUGGGGGGAACCCUGAUGCAGCGACGCCGCGUGGGUGAAGAAGCGCCUCGGCGCGUAAAGCCCUGUCAGCAGGGAAGAAAAUGACGGUACCUGAAGAAGAAGCCCCGGCUAACUACGUGCCAGCAGCCGCGGUAAUACGUAGGGGGCAAGCGUUAUCCGGAUUUACUGGGUGUAAAGGGUGCGUAGGCGGCUGUGCAAGUCAGUAGUGAAAUCCAUGGGCUUAACCCAUGAACUGCUAUUGAAACUGCACAGCUUGAGUGAAGUAGAGGUAGG